AAGGCCAAACCAAAUCAAUUCAUAUGUAUGCAAGCAUGUUCCCAGCAGCUGCCACGGGCUUAGGCAACAGAUGGUGUCUGACAUUCAUUAGGUUGGCAGGGACAGCCCCGGAGGCCAUUCAAAAAUGGGUAGAACAGGAGUUGGGGGGUGGAGAGAAGGCAGUGAUUUCUCAGGGUUAGCAGGAGUGGGCACCAAAGGCAGGGUGAGGCAGUUUGGGCCAGCUCCUGGGAACUCUCACAGCCUGUGAGCUGGCUAUUGCCCAGGACAUUUGCACACUUGUCCCCUACAGGGGCUGCAUCUGGACUUCAUUACUGAAAUACUUUCCCCCAUGGACCAGGCAGGACAGUCAGUGUGACAGACGCCAACCGGGCAGGUCUGGACCUGAGGAACAAUGGUUGAGAGAGGAUUCCAGCAUUCGCUAGAAGCAAGGUCAUAAGACGGUGGGUCCCUUUUGAAUUGCCUUACCCAGAGGGGAGAAGGCUGGGCUUGAGAGGUCUGGUUGCAGCAGCCUCUCUGUUGCAUGGCCCCCUGGGAAAGGUUACACUGAAAUGACUCUCACAGCCCAGACACUGCUGUGACUUGGAUCUGAAACUGUAUCUUAACUGCCCCGAGCCGGUGGGACUAUUUUGAGAGAUGGAAGCCUGAGGAACGGGAGUUCAGCAGGCAGGACUUGGCCACUCCGGUGAGUCUGGAUUGUCAGAAUUGACCAGCACAUCCCCAGUGAAGUGAGCAGCCACUAUUGGAACUACCGACUGAGCUUCUCCAACACACCUUCACAGCCACAAUGGACUAAAAACCAUCUGAAGGCAACCCCCCAUCCCCUACAUCCUGGUAUCUCAAUUGACAGCUGCUGGAAGGAGUUUUACAGAAGCAAGUCAUUCAACAGAAGCGAAGAUAAACAACUGGUCAGGGAGGGUCACACACCAGGCAAUUUAACAGACGCUAAGAUACAUUUUCUGGGACAUCUUGACCUCAGGUUCCUAGAAUAAAGUUGGGAGAUUUUUCAUGGUUUUUUUUCCUACCAAGGAGAUCAAAUUCUAGUUAAACCUAAAAUAGCCUUAGCAAGGAUAAAAGAUGGAGGAGCCUCUGUACUGUCUUGCCCUGUCACAGAACCUCUCCUGACCUUCCCUCAAAGGUCUACUACCUUAGGUGAGGACACCUAGUUCCUAACCUGUAUCAGCUCAGAUCCCCAACCUGCUGACUGUUGUUGGGAAACACUGCUAUUUAAGGUCUCAGGCUACCAUAUCUAGAUAGCUGCUCUGAACUCGAAACAAAAUGGAGGAGUCCCUUUUCCAGUAGGACUCCCUCUUCUCUGCUUGACUUUAUCUAGAGUGCCUGAACCCACACCUGAGGAAGGUCAUGUAGCCCUUGACAAACCUACAGGUUCAACUUUCUCCCCCCCACCCCCCACAAGGAUCUGCCCAGCAAGUACCUGAGAUUCUGGACCAACUCUCCAUGCAAAUGAGACAUUUCCAGUAUGUUCAGUUCCAGCCAAUGACUUGCAUUCACCCUGAAAACUCCUCCUCACUCUUCAAGGUUCAUAUAUAGCCCUCAUCAACCCUGAAUAAAGUACAUGCCCACAAGCUGUUUCACAGAAGUUCAGCUGAGAAAGCUGUUUCAUUGAGUACUGUCUAAAAGAACUGUAACUCUGAAACCCUCAGAGAAUCCCCUCCCCGCUCCCCACCCUCACGUCACCAUCCCCACACCCUGGAACUCCCAACCUGCAGGUCCCUGCACACCGCAUCCGUUCCAGGCUCUGCUUCAUCAUUCCUGCUGGUACCUGGACUCGGGAUGCUGACCCACAGGCUCUCUCAGAUCUUCCUGCUCUUUGUGUAUUUCUCUCUGCUCCCCCACCCCACCAAAGGUGGCCUUGACUGUUGGAUCCCCAGUAAACCUUUCUGUUUUCUACCCA